UCAAACUUGUGUUUUUAUCAGAGAUACUGCUCUCUAGAGUCCGGCUACUAUACUCUUAUAAGUAUAAAUUCUUUUAUACUUAUAAAUUUUCGGCCAUUAAAUCUACCUCUUUGACCAUUUCAUCCAUUAAAUCAUAUAUUAUUCAACCAGUUACCUACUCAAUCCUAGAGGACCACUAUCAUUCUAACUGGAACCGCACAUUUUUUCAUCCAACGACCGAAAAUUUAUAAGUACAAAAGCUCCUGUACUCAUAAGAGUAUAAUAGCCUAGCCGCGUUCCCUAUUAUCUAACUAUAAA
rnacentral:lncRNA from 1 species